rnacentral:rRNA from 1 species
UACGUAGGGCGCGAGCGUUGUCCGGAAUUAUUGGGCGUAAAGAGCUCGUAGGCGGCUUGUCACGUCGGGUGUGAAAGACCGGGGCUUAACUCCGGUUCUGCAUUCGAUACGGGCUAGCUAGAGUGUGGUAGGGGAGAUCGGAAUUCCUGGUGUAGCGGUGAAAUGCGCAGAUAUCAGGAGGAACACCGGUGGCGAAGGCGGAUCUCUGGGCCAUUACUGACGCUGAGGAGCGAAAGCGUGGGGAGCAAACAGG